UUGUGUCUCACCUUGGUACCUCGACGGAGAAAGACGGGGAGGGGGGGCACUGUAACUACCCCGAUUUCUACCAUCCUUUUACAUACAAUAUCUGGUUUGCAUGGUAAUGCCCCUGGGUUCAGAUCAACAUGUCGGCUCAUUUCCUUUACUGAGAAAUUCUCUCCAGAGCAGUCCUCUUCUAUUUGUCAGUACAUGUGGGUUUUUCCUAUGUUUAUAUGAUUAUAAUUAAUUUAAAAUAUAAACCCAGAAGCUAAAAGGAAUUUUCUGGCUUAUAUAACAUAAUGAGAAUCACACAUCUUACUUAAAAGCUUUCAUACCAGAUCUUCAUAAUCACUUAUAAAUCCAACAUAAUUAUUUCCUUACUUGUUUUUUCAGUUACUGCUCCAUUUGAGUUCAAAGAAUGUUUCUUUAAAGUUCACCCUUAAUUAAACAAAUGCAUCCUACUGGUACCUAAAACAACCUGUAUUACUUAUUUUACAUGGCUGUAAAGUUUUAGAGUUGAAAUAUCCCUGUGAAUGGUUUCUAGCCUAAGAGACUGUCUCAUUUAUUUUGACUGUGUCUAUAUUUUAUGAUUGCUUAUGUAGCAUUUUCAACUUUAAAAUUCAUGUCAAUGAAUCCUUCUGAAUACCAGCUGCCAUCGUAGCUAAAUCCUAAAUAGACAAAUUGCUCAUAUUCCAUGUACCAGUUAUUCUUGAAAAGCUUCAUCAAAGUGGCAUUAUGCUGUUUUACAAGUAUGGUAAGCUCUUUUCCUAGUGGGAAAAAAAAAGACAGCUAGGCAUUUGUUGCUCAAAAAGCAUAAGUGCUGGUCUUUCUGGGCAAUUCUGAUACUUUCUUCAUAAACACUCAAAUGUCAACGGCAAAUCUAUGAGAAGGGAUUUAAUAUAAUCCACACUGACUUUCAAAUUUUUAUCACCUCUUUCUCCCAUUAUUUCCUUCUAGCCCAAUCCCUUCUUACCUGUGCUUUGAUCAUUUCAGUCUCUGACAUUUCUCCGGGCAACCAAGCCCAGCCCUUCAUCAACACACACAGCAGUCUGGGCUGAGUGAGGGAGUUAGCACGAGAGGCGCACACACAACCUUGACUCCCAAACCAAGCUUGCUAUAGCUCUACGUUCUUAACCAGAAGAAGGGAAGAAAAGCACCAUUUUCUUUUGGCUGUGCAGAGCUACAAGAAUGAUUGGUAAUGGCAAUUCUGGGGUUAAAAUGCCAUUUCGGGGCCGGCGCUGUAGCACACUAGGUUAAUCCUCCGCCUGUGGCACCAGCAUUCCAUGUGGGCACCAGUUCUAGUCCUGCUUGCUCCUCUUCCAAUCCAGCUCUGUGCUGUGGCCUGAGAGGGCAGUGGAGGAUGGCCCAAGUCCUUGGGCCGCUGCACCCACGUGGGAGACCCGGAAGAAGCUCCUGGCUCCUGGCUUUGGAUCGGCGCAGCUCUGGCCAUUGCGGCCAUUUGGGAAGUGAACCAACGGAAGGAAGACCUCUCUCUCUGUCUCUCUCUCUCUCACUGCCUGUAACUCUCCCUAAUAAAAAUAAAAAUAAAAAAAGCUGUUUCUGCUUUUUUGGGGAAUGAAUGGCUCCAAAAUGGUGGGGAAUGGGACCUCCAUAAACACACAUACAUGAUGAGUUCAGACAGUGAUCACGUGCAUAAGAGCACAUUGGUGCAAAGACAGAAUGAGAAAACAAAAGAAUUCUUGGUAAGUGCAUGUCAGAGCAGGUGCUUUAGUAUUGGUACUCCUGGACUUCAUAAAGACAUGGUUUUUUAAUGUUUUUCACUCUAAGACCCCCUAGAAGUUGUUUUCACGAGUAGGAGGUUACCGAAGCUUUUCAGAGAGAAUAGCAAUGGUUGAUAUUAUAUUUUACCAUUUAACCAAACAGUCAUCUCCGAAACACUCUCUACUGAAGUAUCUGAAAGAAUCACGAAUAAUACUUACAUUAUUAUAUAGCAGAAAGAGAAAAGCACAAACAGAAGGGUGAAGGCAGACAUCAAUCACAGAUUUGUCUGUUAGGUGCAUAUCAUACAAACAACAAAUCUGAAGUGUUUACACAGGGGAUGCCUUGUCUCUAGUUUACCAGAGUGUCUACCAUUCCCUAUUUCCUAUGUAUUUGGUAGCCUGAAGACAUGUGGAUGAUGAUUUUGUCUGAUGUUCACUACUGCGAACUAACCUCUCCCGCCUUUGGCCAAAUGCCACAAAGAAGUCUAACCCUCAAAGAAGGAAGGAAGGAGGGAAGGAAGGAAGGAAGGAAGGAAGGAAGAAGGAAGGGGGAGGGAGAGAAGAGAUGGAGAGAGGGAAAGGUGGUGGGGGGCUUUAAUGCAGUGGUUAUGACAGUUGGAAGAUCAGCAUUUAACGCAGUGGUUAUGACAGUUGGAAGAUCAACAUUCCUUACUGGGGUGCUCGGCUUCCUGUCCCAGCUUCACUUGGGAUUCAGCCUUCCAGCGAAUGUGCACCCUGAAAGCAGCAGUUUGUAAGACUAUUGGUCUCGUCUACUGGACUUCCAAGGCAAAAAUUUGGAAGCUAUUUUGUCAUGAGCAGCUGUUAAGAGUGACAUCUGGAGUUAACAAACUAAUGAUAACUGAAAAUUGUAACUGAACAGAGUGAGAAACAGGAGAUUAAAGUUUACUCUGUAUCCGGGAAAGAAGAUAAUAAAAAAAGCCAAAUGUAACCAGGUCACACGAGAAAAAUUAAUGGGAGGCACAGUCAACACCAGUCUGCCUGUGGCCAGGCCCCAGGUGCAGGAGCAGGGAGAUGGACUGGAAGCAAAGCCUCUGGGACUGGAACCAGCCUCCAAUGUGGGAUGCUGGCAUCACGAGCAGCAGCGUGACUCAGCGUGCCGCAGUGGCAUUCGCAUCACCGAAGUUUUGAGAAAGUCUGG